CCCACUAUAGUAGGAGCAAGGUGCCAGUAACGUAUAUGCUUCGAGGCGCAAUGAAACCAGUUGGAUGGAGGCAUUGGCGCAGCUUGUUCGGUUUCCCCGGAAUAGUCGGAAGAUAAAGCAUAGUCGACGGUCUACAGUUUCAUUAAUUCAUCCAUUGGUACUGUCUUAACGUACGUCUGUGGCAAUUUGAAACCAUUGGAAUCCCACCACCUAGGCAGCAGUUCCUUCCGCAACCCAGGAUCGGUCAAUAUAUCGUUCUCCGGAACAUCAGGCGACAUUAGCAGGACAUUAGAAUCUAUGCCAUCCUCCAUGCAUAUGGCAAUGGAAAAUAGAGCUAACAAGUCUGAUACUCGUUGCUUGGCCAUAAAAUCACAACCAGUUCCGCAAGCAUAGCGAUCUUGUAAUUCUAUGUAAGCUUCUGUACAUGCUAUAAAUGGUACAAAGUCAUUAUAAAAUAUUGUAACACAUAAGUAGAGAUUUAGAAUAACGUACAAUACUAACAGUGACCCAAAUAGCUGACUCUACAAAAGCAAAUUUUUAUACAGUGUCUGCUAUGUAUUUUGUCAGCAGUCUGGUAGCAGAAAUGCAACAAGAUAGUAAAGUAUGAUGGCAACAGACUAGCAAAGUAUAAUGGCAAGAUUGAACUGCUUGAACGCUGCCAUCAAUCUGCUGUCAAAUUAUAUCAACAGACUCUGUUUACAGAACAUGAGUUUAAUGCAGGAAAACAGACAGAUAGCUAUUGUAUUGAUCUGUAUAAAUCAGAAGUGUUCUGAUCAAAUCUGCUACCAAUCCACUGGCUACUGGUAAUACAUGUUGUUUAUUAGAGAAUAAAAAAAGAGUUUUCACAUGAAGAAUAUAGAGAUAUUUCUAAAAAUUUAACACUUUAAGGAAGACAUACAAGCCUCGCAAGCGUUUCUUGUGCCGUUCAAACUAUUGGGCUCCAGUCCAUAGCGCAAAUCAACCAGGUUAAAGAAUCUGCAACCUCGUUGACAACAAGACUUCACAUACAUAUUCUAAAAGAAAUUCACUAAUUGUACAGAUAAAUAUAAAAUGAGAAAUAUAAAAUUAGAAUGAGACAGAACACACAACCAAAUGAAUUAUAUUCAACAAAUGAAUGUAUAAUAUAGAAUUUGAUGUGGGAAGAAGCAUACAUUGGCAAAAGUAGCGGGUGUCUUCUCGCAUAAGCUGAUGCAGGGAUCUUCACGAUGGAUUACACUGCGAGACGUAUGGCCGCGAGUCAACGUCAUAAUCAGCGGCAUUAGCAACGCAAUGAUCUCAAUGUUGCCUCUCAUUUUUAGAUGCUGUUAUAACACUUUGUGAUUCAACUCUCUUUUUAUUUGUUUUUUUUCUGCCUAUCCAAGAGACGAAUCUACCAACUGUCAAAGAAUAUAGACGCACUGUUUUAGUUUCACUUCUUUCCUGUUCAAUAUCGUUCACUCCCAAAUUACAGCUUUUAGAUUUUCGUUAUGUACAACUUCAUCGUGCUCCAACACGCACCACUAUAUUAUUGAAAUUAUCUGACGGACGCGAAGGGCGAUCCCAAUUUGAUGGGCGGACGAAUAAUCGAGCAAA